UCCCUCUAACCCUCUCAACUCUCUCUCUCUUUCAUCUUUCUCUAUCACUUUCUCUCUUACUCACCAUUUUUCUACAGGAAACCGCACUUCACCAUCACACAUUUGUUGCUCUGGCGAGCAUGACCGCACCACCAUACCAUCCUUCGUCAUGAAACCUAAGUCAUGGGAACGUGACAUUCCUCUUUCUCUCCCGAAGCAGUGGCACCAUUAUUGUUCAAAGAUUUUUCCCGGAGAGCUCUCGUUAUUCCCAGCUAAGAAAUACCUCGGGGGAAAUUUCCCUAGUUUUCCGGCAAAGACCCGUAAGUUGCAGGCGUCUUCCGGCUAUUUUCCAGCCACGGUGGAGACCUAAAAUGGUACGAUUAUUAUCGAUGACUUCGCUAUUCUAGUUCGAACGGGUUCGACUUAAUGACGUGAUCUGUGAGUG